CCUGCAAGACAUGAACGACAUUUUAUAAUCUUACAUAUUUCAGUGCAAACUUUAACAUAAACUUGCUUUGACAUCUACACAUCAAUUACCUAAAUUUCAAACUGCUACAUGAGGAUGAUUUCCAUCUCUAUAUGUGGUAGAAACUUUUUCCUUUUUCUUUAAAAGAAAACAAAAUUUUUCAUGUGGUUGAUAUCAAAUGUGUUUUUUGUAACUAUGCUUUUACAUCUUCACAGUAUUCAUGUCUGUUGUUUUACAGCCUUUUAGGGGGUGUUUGGAUAUCCGUAAUGGGAUUGGAAUGCAUUGUAAUGUAAUCUAAAAUUCAUGUUUGGAUUGAGCGUUUUGAGUCGAAUUGUAAUAUUUUAAACUCAUUUUGUUUCUGCAGUUUUCAAUUAAACUCUACUUCCAUUGUUUUCACAUUUUAUGGUUUCAUUUUUGCUUCACCCUCAAUUCAACACACCUUCCAACACUCCUUGGAUUCUCAAUAAUUAUUAUUACAUUCUAGCUCCCUGAACACCCCCUUACAAUCCUUUUGUUCCAAAACUUCUACUUCUACAUACUCCACUAAACAAUUUGUUUUGAACUGCGAAAGAAGACUCCAUGAUACCAUAGAAACGGACUGAACACGACAAAAGGAUUGAAUGCAGCCCCCUCGUUAUCAAUCAACUUACACAAAUAAUAAAAAUGUAACUGCCAAAUGAAAAGAUAAAUAAUUACAACUGUAUUCAUUUUUCUCUUUGGAAGUCAAGUUUUUCUAUCCAAGAAGUAAUAACUAAAUACAAUUGGCCCCAAUUGUUCACAUUAACAAAGGGCUCAUGGUUUCUUCGUGUCAAUAAAGAAAAAAUGCUCUUUCUUUCCACCCAUACUGCUAGGCCUCCGAUCACUCAAGUUUACAAGAGAAGGGGUAAAAAGGGGAAUUCCACCUAGACAGCUUAGUAAUUAGGAUGGCUAGUGGUCCUCAUUACACGUGGCAGCAGGAACGUAGGAAUAUAUAUAUGAGUGUUUUGUGUUAGGAUUGAUCAUGACAAAGAUGAUCGUAUAAGGUUCACACAAAAUGCAUAAUGAACUGAUAUAUAUAUAUAUAUUGUUUUGUGUUAGUUUUUUAAAUUUUAUACGAUUUUGUGUGAACCUUGUUCAUGGUGGAGAUUGCAGCCCUCUUAUUUGGCUGGAUCCCUUUUGUUUAGAUACUCUUUUGUGGCUGUUCUACUGGAAUCUUUGCGUGGUUGUGUAUGCUAUUUGGCUGAUUUAUUUGCAGGUUGGGUAGAAGCUUAACAAUUGGUAUCAGAGCCAAUCGACACCCUAGGGAGGUGGAAGAAGAUGAUGCAGAAACUAAUUGAAGAGCGCUUGAACGCUUCGGAAGCUGAGAUAGAAGCAAUAAAAAAAGAGGUUCAACGAAUACCUGUCCUGGAGAAGACGAUGGAAAGAAUGCACGCCAUGUUAACCGAAAUGUAUGAGGAUCGCCAGAGACAGCCGGGAGGAUCUGAACUGAUCGGAGUAAGUACUGGCAAACGGAAAAUUCGAACUGAAGACUUGGUCGAAGGAGACGAGGAAGGGGAAACCUCUCUUGAGUUUAGAAAUAGGGGCAUGGCAAGAUCGUAUAAAAUUUAAAAAACUGGAGAUGGCGAAAGACGUUCUGGUAGGGACCUUCAUGAACGGGUUGGAUCCAAUUAUUAGAACCGAAGUAUUUGCAAUGCGGGCCGUGGGCUUGGAGGAUAUGAUGGACGUGGCUCGAUUAGCCGAAGAGAAGUUGGAUAUAGCUAGGGCUUCGCAAGGCCCAUACGCUAAGGAUGGGAAAUUGGCCCAAAAGCACGCGCCAAAAAUUUCAGAAAUCCCUUUGACUAAGAUCGUGACAUUGGCCGAAGGAUUCCCACGAGUUCAAAUCAGUCGAUUAACUUACAGAAUAUGGCAUCGAGGAAUGGUGGCCAGCGAGAAAAUAAUUUUCGAAGGUGGACGAAUUCUGAACUGCAAGCACAACGCGACAAGGGGUUGUGUUAUCGAUGCGACGAACCAUUUAGCAAAGGCCAUCGCUGCAAAAACAAAGAGUUUCGCCUUUGCGUGGUCGCGGACGAUUUAGAAGAUAUUGAGAUGGAAGACAGCACGCACGAGGGAGAAAUGGUUGAAGUCAGUUCGGUGGUAGAAUUAUCACUGAACUCCGUUGUGGGUUUGACAGCACCAGGUACGUUUAAGGUGAAAGGAACUGUAGAUGAUAGAGAAAUCGUGAUCAUGGUGGAUUGUGGCGCCAUCCAUAAUUUUAUCUCCCUGAAGUUGGUAGAGAGCCUCAAUUUACCUAUGGCUGAAACAACAAAUUAUGCGGUCUGGAAAAGCGGUGCAAGGUCGAGGCAUGUGUAAAGGCAUCACUGUGGGUUUGCCACUGCUAACCAUAGUAGAGGAUUUCUUGCCGCUGGAUCUGGGUAACUUGGAUAUGGUGUUGGGGAUGCAGUGGCUUGCAGAAGCAAGGCGCAAUGACAGUGGAUUGGAAAGCUCUCACUAUGACUUUUGUUGUCGGAGACACUAAGGUAAUCCUAAAAGGGGACCCUUCGCUGACCAGAAUGGAAAUAUCCUUGAAGGUAUUAGUUAAAACGUGGCAACCGUACGAUCAAGGAUUUUUGAUUAAUUUUAGAGCCAUGGGCAUUUCGAAGGCUGAUCGGGAGUUAGUAGUGACAGAUUCAGUGGAAGAUUUCCAACCAGAGUUUGAACAACUACAACAGGAAUUUAGUGAUAUAUUUGAUAUGCCCGACAGACUUCCCCCGAUGCGACAAAUCGACCAUAGGAUCCAAUUGAAAGAAGGUACGGAUCCCAUUAAUGUGAGGCCAUACCGUUACCCACAUGCCCAGAAAAACGAGAUUGAAAGAUUGGUGAAUGACAAGCUAGCGUCGGGCAUUAUAAGACCUAGCACCAGCCUCUUUUCCAGUUCGGUUAUAUUGGUAAAAAAGAAGGAUGGGGGAUGGCGGUUUUGCGUCGACUAUCGCGCUUUAAAUCGAGCCACUGUACCAGAUAAGUUCCCUAUUCCCAUGAUUGAUGAGUUGCUGGAUGAGCUAAAUGGAGCGAGUAUCUUCUCUAAAAUAGACUUGAAAUCUGGGUACCAUCAAAUCCGGGUGCGUGAUGAAGAUGUACGCAAGACAACCUUCAGAACACACGAGGGCCAUUACGAGUUCCUAGUCAUGCCCUUCGGGCUUACCAAUGCACCCACUACGUUCCAAGCUCUUAUGAAUCAGGUUUUUCGACCUUAUUUACGUAAAUUCUUGCUGGUAUUUUUUGAUGACAUUCUUGUGUACAGCAAAGGCGUGGAAGCACAUCUAGAGUAUCUCAUUGUGGUAUUCCAACUGUUGAGACAACAUUGCCUUUUUGCUAACCAGAAGAAAUGCUAUUUUGCGAAGGAUCGUAUUGAAUACUUAGGCCAUUGGGUGUCGGCCAAGGGAGUUGAAGCUGAUCAGGAGAAGAUUAAGGCCAUGUUAGAGUGGCCAACACCAAAGAAUGUAAGGGAGUUUGGGGGUUUUUUGGGGCUGACCGGGUAUUAUCAUCGGUUUGUAGUAAAGUAUGGCGCCAUCGCUACACCACUUAUGAAGUUGACCAAGAAGAAUAAUUUUUGUUGGUUGGAAGAGGCAACAAAAGCGUUUGAACAACUUAAGAGAGCGAUGGUAGCACUUUCGGUGUUAGCAUUACCCAACUUCCAGCUGCCUUUUGAAGUAGAAACAAAUGCAUCGGGGUUCGAUUUGGGUGCUGUAUUAUCGCAGAACAGGAGGCCAAUCGCGUAUUUCAGCCAAAAACUCUCUUCAACAGCUCGGGAAAAAUCUGUUUACGAAAGGGAGCUGAUGGCCAUAGUGUUGGCAGUGGAAAAAUGGAGGCACUACCUAUUGGGUCAUCAUUUCGUGGUAUAUACUGAUCAGAAAGCGUUGAGGCAUAUCCUGGAACGAAGAGAAAUAAUACUCGGUGUACAAAAGUGGUUGAUGAAGCUGGUGGGAUUCGAUUUCGAGAUACGCUAUCGAGCUGGACCAGAAAACAAAGCUGCGGAUGCUUUGUCCCCUCUUUGCUGGACAUUACAGUGAUUGAAAGGGAGGUGCAAGAGGACGAGAAAUUAAAGGCAAUAUUUGACAGAAUUGUGGUGGACCCGAACUGCAUUCCCCGUUAUACGGUUCGCCAAGGUAAGCUGUUUUAUAGGGGCAGAUUGGUUCUCUCGAAGACAUCGAGCUUCAUUCCUACGAUAUUACACACUUUCCAUGACUCGAUCAUUGGGGGACAUUCAGGACAGCUACGCACCUACAAAAGGAUAGCAGCAGAAUUGUUUUGGGAAGGGAUGAAGAAUGACAUCAAGCAGUAUGUAGAUCAAUGUCAUGUUUGCCGGCAGAACAAGGUCCAAGCGUUAUCUCCAGCCAGGCUGUUACAACCUCUUCCUAUUCCUAACCAUAUUUGGGAAGAUAUUUCCAUGGAUUUUGUGGAGGGUCUACCAUGUUCCAAGGGGUUCGACACAAUAUUGGUGGUAGUUGAUCGCAUAAGCAAGUAUGCUCAUUUUAUUACCUUGGGUCAUCUGUUCUCGGCUAAAAUAGUAGCUAUGGUGUUCAUCAAAGAGGUAGUGCGCCUCCAUGGAUAUCCUUGCUCGAUAGUAUCCGACCGUGACCGAGUCUUCUUAAGCCACUUUUGGAAAGAGUUAUUUCGGUUGCAAGGGAUCCAACUAAAGCGGAGCACGACAUACCAUCCCUAAACAGAUGGACAAAUGGAGGUUGUUAACAAAUGCUUGGAAUUUUAUUUAAGAUGUUUUUGUCAAGAGAAGCAAAAGACAUGGAGUGAUAAGGUUGCGUGGGCUGAGUAUUGGUACAAUACCAAAUACCAAUCGUCGAUCACAAGUACCCCUUACGCGGUAGUUUAUGGACAACUCCCUCCUCCUAUCAUUUCAUAUGGUCACAAUGGGACAACUCCGAAUGAUUCGGUGGAGCAUCAAUUGCAAUCCCGAAAUGAGAUGCUGGCAGCCUUGAAGAGGCAUUUACAGCAUGCCCAAGAGCGAAUGAAGAAAUUUGUCGAUGUACAUCGCCGCGACGUGGUGUUUGACAUUGGGGACAGGGUAUACUUAAAAUUGCAGCCUUACAGACAGCAGUCAGUAGCGAAAAAACGUUGUGAAAAGUUAUCGCCAAGGUAUUUUGGGCCAUAUACGGUGUUGGGUCGAGUGGGAGAGGUCUCCUACCUGCUGGACCUUCCGGAAACUGUCAAAAUACACCCCGUUUUCCAUGUAUCACAACUUAAGAAAGCGGUAGGAGACAAACAUCAAGUCUAUCCGGACGUUGCAAUGAUCAAUGAUCAAAUGGAGUUAAUGUUGGAACCGGAAAACGUGACCCAACUUCGUUGGAACGAGGCUGUACGUGAUUGGGAAUAUUUGGUACAAUGGAAGGAUCAACCAAGCCAUGAAGCAACAUGGGAGUCUAAAAGCUUCAAUGGUGUCUUACAUUCCUGAUGAAGAUCUGACAAGACUUUCUGGGGUCAAAUUUCUUCACAUAUUCCCAGACUCAUAGCUCUGUAUUCAACCACAACACUGCUCCUGGCCACAACACUUUGCUACUCCUCCAAGUUAUAAGGUACAAUAACCGACAGGUAGACUUUCUGUCAUUAAUAGAUCUUGCCCAAUCUGAGUCAGUAUAUACCUCAAUGGUCUUUUUAUUUGUUUUUCUAAACAUCAACCUUUACCAGGUGUAUUUUUUAAAUAUCUCAGGAUUCUGUUAACAGCUUCCAUGUGUUUCUCAUAGGGAGCCUGCAUGAACUGGCCGACAACACUCACAUCAAAGGAAAUAUCAGAUUCAGAAGAAGAAAAUAUGGGAAAUGGUGCAGCCUCAUCUAAAAACUGACGGUUGUUGCACUGCUGUUUUGGGUUCCCAUCCACUGAGGACUUCAACUGGUGUUGUCACCUCCACCUCCCUUAAACACGCAAACAUCUCUUGACUCUAU